AGGACGAACGCUGGCGGCGUGCUUAACACAUGCAAGUCGAGCGAAGUCCAACCGGUGGCAACACCGGGGAAGGCUUAGCGGCGAACGGGUGAGUAACACGUGAGCAACCUGUCCCGAAGACUGGGAUAACACCGGGAAACCGGUGCUAAUACCGGAUACCCCCAUCGGACCGCAUGAUCUGAUGAGGAAAUGAAUUUCGCUUCGGGAGGGGCUCGCGGGCUAUCAGCUAGUUGGUGUGGUCAUGGCACACCAAGGCGACGACGGGUAGC
rnacentral:rRNA from 1 species